rnacentral:rRNA from 1 species
GUCACGAGUUUGAUCAGUGGCUCAGAAUGAACGCUGGCGGCAGGCCUAACACAUGCAAGUCGAACGGAUCCUUCGGGAUUAGUGGCGGACGGGUGAGUAACGCGGUGGGAACGUACCCCUUUCUUCGGAAUAGCCUCGGGAAACUGGGAGUAAUACCGGAUAAGCCCUAUUGGGGAAAGAUUUAUCGGGAAGGGAUCGGCCCGCGUUGGAUUAGGUAGUUGGUGGGGUAAUGGCCUACCAAGCCGACGAUCCAUAGCUGGUUUGAGAGGAUGAUCAGCCACACUGGGACUGAGACACGGCCCAGACUCCUACGGGAGGCAGCAGUGGGGGAAUCUUAGACAAUGGGGGAAACCCUGAUCUAGCCAUGCCGCGUGAUCGAUGAAGGCCUUAGGGUUGUAAAGAUCUUUCAGUGGGGAAGAUAAUGACGGUACCCACAGAAGAAGCCCCGGCUAACUCCGUG